GAUGAACGCUGGCGGCGUGCCUAAUACAUGCAAGUCGAGCGAACAGACGAGGCGCUUGCUCCUCUGACGUUAGCGGCGGACGGGUGAGUAACACGUGGAUAACCCACCUGUCAUACUGGGAUAACUUCGGGAAACCGGCUCUAAUACGGGAUAAUCUAUUGCACCGCGUGGUUCAAUGGUGAGAGACGGCUUUUCUGUCUCGUAUAGCUGGUUCCGGGCCGCAUUAGCUAGUUGGUAAGGUAACGGCUUACCAAGGCGACGAUGCGUAGCCGACCUGAGGGGCUGGUCGGCCACACUGGAACUGAGACACGGUCCAGACUCCUACGGGAGGCAGCAGUAGGGAAUCGUCCGCAAUGGGCGAAAGCUUGACGGAGCAACGCCGCGUGAGUGAUGAAGGUCUUCGGAUCGUAAAACUCUGUUAUUAGGGAAGAACAAAUGUGUAAGUAAAUAUGCACGUCUUGACGGUACCUAAUCAAAAAGCAACGGCUAACUACGUG
rnacentral:rRNA from 1 species